AUGAACGCUGGCGGCGUGCCUAAUACCUGCAAGUCGAGCGAACAGACGAGGAGCUUACUCCUCUGACGUUAGCGGCGGACGGGUGAGUAACACGUGGAUAACCUACCUAUAAGACUGGGAUAACUUCGGGAAACCGGAGCUAAUACCGGAUAACAUGUUGAACCGCAUGGUUCCACAGUGAAAGACGGUCUUGCUGUCACUUAUAGAUGGAUCCGCGUCGCAUUAGCUAGUUGGUAAGGUAACGGCUUACCAAGGCAACGAUGCGUAGCCGACCUGAGAGGGUGAUCGGCCACACUGGAACUGAGACACGGUCCAGACUCCUACGGGAGGCAGCAGUAGGGAAUCUUCCGCAAUGGGCGAAAGCCUGACGGAGCAACGCCGCGUGAGUGAAGAAGGUCUUCGGAUCGUAAAACUCUGUUAUUAGGGAAGAACAAAUGUGUAAGUAACUAUGCACGUCUUGACGGUACCUAAUCAGAAAGCCACGGCUAACUACGUG
rnacentral:rRNA from 1 species